UAGAAGAAGGCAGGCAGAAGAGGCCAC
rnacentral:piRNA from 1 species